AGCGGAUGUAUCACACCGAGUCCGGGAGGUGAAGACAGCUCCUUCAGCCACGAGGAUAUUCUCCCACCUUGGUGCAAGACAGCAAAGUCCAGACAGGAUCUGAGCCCGGGCCAGCAGGAAUCUUUCACUGGCUGCUGCCUUUGUGCUUUGGAGCCCUGCAGAAGGUGAACGUGUGUCUGCAUCACGUGAGGGCUGGAGUGAUGGGCUGAUGCCUAAGAAGCUGAGCUACGUUUCAGAAAGGAGGGGUGAAGAGCACUUGAUGCCAGACGUUAUUUUCCAUGUGUGUUCUGACACCAGAC